AUGUUAGCCAGGAUGGUCUGGAUCUCCUGACCUCGUGAUCCGCCCGCCUGUGCCUCCCAAAGUGUUGGGAUUACAGGCGUGAGCCACUGUGCCCAGCCUCCAGCAUGAUUUUUUUAGGCCGUUCUUUUGUUUGAAAGAAUUCAACUAAGGAUCCACUCUGCCUGCCUGACCGGUUUCUUCCUUUCUUCUCUCUCAUCGGGUCCCGAGUUCCCAUGACUGCAGCUUCCAGAAGAGCAGAGCUUUGGUAUCCUACUCACAGCGCCAAAACUGCAGGGGCCAAGGCUCUUUUGGACUCCAGCUCUUGUUCUCUCGCUGAAUCCCACCGCCACCCCUUCAAGUCAUCGGCUGUGAUUCACCUGUGGGUUUCUGAAGGCUAGAAGCUUCCACAAUGAGCCAGGAAACAAGUUCUGAUUGGCUGGGAACAGACCUCUGCUCCAAGAUUCAGGGCUGGCAGUAUUCCUUCUGUUCUGGUGGCUCGAUCUUCAUUGCUUUCCUCUGGACUUGAACACCCUGUUGCCCAGGCUGGAGUGCAGUGAUGCAAUCAUAGCUCACAAUGGCCUCGAACUCCUGGGCUCAAGCCAUCCUCCCGUGUCAGACUCCCAAGUAGCUGGGAUUACAGGAACUCCUCCUACCCAUGGAAUCUGCCAGCAGUUGGAUUCUUGACUAUCUUUAGGACUUUUCCUAAUCUCACCUUCUCCAUCUGUGAAAUGGAAAUAAUCAAAGGG
rnacentral:lncRNA from 10 species